GAGUUUGAUCCUGGCUCAGAACGAACGCUGGCGGCAGGCUUAACACAUGCAAGUCGAGCGCCCCGCAAGGGGAGCGGCAGACGGGUGAGUAACGCGUGGGAAUCUACCGUGCCCUACGGAAUAGCUCCGGGAAACUGGAAUUAAUACCGUAUACGCCCUACGGGGGAAAGAUUUAUCGGGGUAUGAUGAGCCCGCGUUGGAUUAGCUAGUUGGUGGGGUAAAGGCCUACCAAGGCGACGAUCCAUAGCUGGUCUGAGAGGAUGAUCAGCCACAUUGGGACUGAGACACGGCCCAAACUCCUACGGGAGGCAGCAGUGGGGAAUAUUGGACAAUGGGCGCAAGCCUGAUCCAGCCAUGCCGCGUGAGUGAUGAAGGUCUUAGGAUUGUAAAGCUCUUUCACCGGUGAAGAUAAUGACGGUAACCGGAGAAGAAGCCCCGGCUAACUUCGUGCCAGCAGCCGCGGUAAU
rnacentral:rRNA from 1 species